UACGGAGGGUGCAAGCGUUAUCCGGAUUCACUGGGUUUAAAGGGUGCGUAGGUGGGCUGGUAAGUCAGUGGUGAAAUCUCCAGGCUUAACUUGGAAACUGCCAUUGAUACUAUCAGUCUUGAAUACCGUGGAGGUCAGCAGAAUAUGUCAUGUAGCGGUGAAAUGCUUAGAUAUGACAUAGAACACCAAUUGCGAAGGCAGCUCACUACACAAUCAUUGACGCUGAGGCACGAAAGCGUGGGGAUCAAACAGG
rnacentral:rRNA from 1 species